AUAUAAAAUUGGAGUACAAUAAUAGUAAAUGAUGGCAAUUUUCUUUAGACUUUGGUCUUCCCCUUCACACCUUCCGAUCCUUGGGCAGCCAUGGGAAGCCCAACUCUCUAGGGUUUCUACAAAACGAAUCCAAGACCCUUGAAGGGGUAUUUGAGAUUGGACCUGUGAAUCUUACUCUGGGAGGCUUCAAAUGCUCUUGCUGCUGAGAUUUUGGCUAUUUUAGGGUGUUUCUAUGAAGAUGGAGGAAGUUGAAGAAGCUAACAGAGCAGCUGUUGAGAGCUGCCACAGGGUUCUCAGCCAUUUGUCUCAGUCCAAAGAUCAAGUUCAGUAUAGAAAUCUAAUGGUGGAAACUGGAGAAGCUGUUUCCAAGUUCAGAAAAGUUGUGUCUUUGCUUGGUAAUGGAGUGGGCCAUGCAAGAGUGAGAAAAUCAAAGAAGACCCAUUCAUUCAAUCACAAGAUAUUUUUAGACAAUCCAUUAGUAGCAUCUAAACAAACCACAUCAAUUCCCAACCCAGCUCAACUCAUCCCAAGAACUCUCCUAACAAUCUCAACCCCAGACUUGGAUUCAACUCCUAAACCCCCUCAUCAUCACCAUCAGUUCUCUCACAAGAUGUUUCUCGAGAACCCGAUGCUCGAGCAACAUCACAAUUCUUCCUCUUCCCAUUCCCACCAUUUUCAGUAUUUACAGCACCAGCAGCAGCAGAGCACCCACCAGAGAUUUCAGCAUUUUCAGCAUCAGAUGAAGCUUCAAGCUGAGAUGUUCAAGAGGAGCAGCAGUGGCAUAAACCUCAAGUUCGAUAACUCUAGCUGUACUCCGACUGUGUCAUCGACGAGAUCUUUCUUAUCUUCGCUUAGUAUGGAUGGGAGUGUAGCAAGUUUAGAAGGAAAACCAUUUCAGCUCAUCGGUGGAUCUCAGUCAUCGGAGCCCGUGACUCUUCACCCUCCACCAAAGAGAAGGUGUACUGGAAGAGGAGAAGAUGGAAAUGGCAAAUGUGCAACUAGCGGGAGGUGCCAUUGUUCUAAGAGGAGGAAGCUGAGAGUGAAGAGGUCGAUCAAGGUGCCUGCUAUAAGUAACAAGCUAGCGGAUAUCCCUCCUGAUGAAUACUCAUGGAGGAAGUACGGGCAAAAGCCAAUCAAGGGUUCUCCGCAUCCUAGGGGGUACUAUAAAUGCAGCAGCAUGAGGGGGUGCCCUGCCCGAAAGCAUGUGGAAAGGUGCGUAGAUGACCCAUCGAUGCUCAUCGUCACAUACGAGGGCGAGCACAAUCACACCAGGUUACUAGCUCAAUCGACCACCACGACAUAGCAGGUCCUCAUCUCAAAUCACAAAGAAGAAGAACAGGAGUUGAGCAACGCCGGAACUGAAUGCUAGUUGUGCAAAUGUGAGAAAAUAAUCUCUGGCCGAGAUGCUGAUGGUGUCUGUUAGGAGGAGAGCAGCCUGUGCUCUGAUCACUGAAAAUCUGUAGUGUCAGACUGCCAGCUCGUACUGGAUGUGUCUCUGAACAAAGUGUCCUUGACUCUUCUGUGGAUGUCUCUUCUUCUCACAUGACUCUUCUCCAAUUAUUAGCCAUUUUAUAAUGUUCAAUAUCUUGAGUUUAUUAUUAUUAUUAUAUAAUAAUUUUGUCU